rnacentral:lncRNA from 1 species
GCCCUUACCUGACCCAUCCAGCAGGUCCAGUUAUUCAAGGGUCUCAAGGGGACCUUCUUCUAAGAACCAAAUUGGGGGAUGGUGGGGUGAAGUACGGACACCAAGUGCGAGGAACGACAGAUACUUAUCAACUGGCUGACUCAUUGGCAGAUGCUUGCAUUUCCUAAAAUGGAGUUGAAUGUGAAUUAUAACUUCCACUGCAAAUAGCUCUGAACCUGGCAACAAAGAGAAGAUAUGUAAAGAUGGGGAGCUUAGCUGGCUUGGCAUCUAGGGAGCUGUUGGCAAAAUUAGGAGUAGUCCCAGGCAAACCAGAAGAUGCUGACAGACCAAGUCCCCCUGAUGAGACUCUCUGGAUGGGCUUGGCCAGCUGGGAAGAAGA